rnacentral:piRNA from 1 species
UGCUUUUUGUUUGUUUUGAGACUCAAUUG